CCCUUAGAUGUUCUGGGCCGCACGCGCGCUACACUGAUCAGUGCAACAAGCAUCCGUCCUUGGCCGACAGGCCCGGGCAAUCUUUGAACGCUGAUCGUGAUGGGGAUAGACUUUUGCAAUUUUUGGUCUUCAACGAGGAAUUCCUAGUAAACGCAAGUCAUCAACUUGCAUUGAUUACGUCCCUGCCCUUUGUACACACCGCCCGUCGCACCUACCGAUUGAAUGGUCCGGUGAAACCUCCGGAUUGGCGCGUGCCCUCGGGCGCCGCCGAGAAGUUGGUUAAACCUUACCAUUUAGAGGAAGGUGAAGUCGUAACA
rnacentral:rRNA from 1 species